GGUUUCAUGGUCGAGUGGUAAGGACACGUGGCUCUCACCUUGGAGUCCCCGGUUCGAUCCCCGGUCGAGGAGCUA